CACCUCCCCCGCCACAGGCCCCGCCCCUUCCCGCCCCUUCCCAUUUAAGUCGCUGGGGCGUGAAGCUCGAGCCAGAGAGCGCGCUCGCGGGUCGUCUAUAGCAGUCCGAUCUCGGAUCAGCGAGGGUGGUGAGGGGCUGGGUUUUUUUUUUUUUUUUUAAUUUGCCUCUUGCCUCGCGUCUUAUCCUUGUUACAGUACCCACACACUCCCACGCGUCUCCUUUUCUCAAUCAGCUGACGUAUCCACCGCCAGUACCCCACUUCAGCAAUCGCUCCGUGCACCCCUGGCGCGCGCGUAGGAACCCUUUCUCCCUCCCGUUUCAACUUGGGGCACGCGCUUGGCGGGAGGGAGGGACUGUUACCGCAGGGCUUCACGGGAAUUGUAGUUCUUCUCUUUCUCUGAGCUCUGUGGAGACUGCCGGAAAGACUACAACACCCAGCAGCUCCGCGCUCUCCCUUUCCUCAAAGGAAAAAGAUAUGCCUGCAGGCUGUUCCCUACGGACACACCCUGUCCCUGCUUUGCUGCGCAGUGUGGCCAAGGAAUUAAAUUAAUUUAAAGCAGGACUGAUGCAGUAAGGGGAUCACUGGUAUCCAUUUAAUGCUUUACAGUUUGCGAAUCGUGUUCUAUCUCUUCAACCAUCUUGUGAGAAUCUCCAGUACAAUGAUGAAUUGAAGUAGCAAGAGCAAACAUCCUUGUCUUGUUCCUGACCUUAGAAGAAAGCAUUCCAUCUUUCACCAUUAAAUGCCACACUCCCUAUUCUCAGGGUAUCUUGAGUAGAAGAACACAACCAGCUGAGCCUGUCCUACUGUGGUGACUUCAGAGGAAGUGACGUGGUACCAGAGUAGCAGCUGUCUUUGACAGGACCUCUCCAGAGUACAGAAGUUACCAAGUUCCCAACUCAUGGAGUAGCCAAGGGAUGUUGGGGAACCUCAUCUCCUAAGGUGACCCUGGUCACUGGUGCCUUGAGAUGAGAAAUCUACUUGGAGAAAACGGUAACCUGAUUCAAUUUAAUAAAAAUACUCUCAGUACUCAGAAUAAUUAUGGAGAUGUGAAGAACAAUUCUUUCUUCCUGCAACUGCAUAAAACUGUUGGAGUUCAUUACACUGAAUAAACAGUCCAAUGCUGUAGCAGUGCUCAGCAGAACAUAUUUCAAAUUUAUCUAUUUCUCUCUUGCCUUCCCAUUCCAGGGUAUAUCCGUGAGUUAGGGAAGGGAAGGAUCAGGCCUGUGCAGUUUGAUAAAAAGUGACCUUCACGCACACUUUGAGACCCACUGCAUCUAAGAUAAUGAGUUUUGAGUACCCAAGGGCCCCCAUUCUCUUCAUUCAGUGUUUUUCUCCCAUUAUACCAGAGAAGCUCAAGGUUUAAGUAAGUAACUUCUUGAUCUAGAACCCUAGAGCCAGCGUAUAAACUUGGAGCCAGUACAUAAACCUGGAGCCU